rnacentral:rRNA from 1 species
AACAAACGCUGGCGGCGUGCCUAAUACAUGCAAGUCGAACGGGGAAAGCUUUCGGGUGAGUACUAGUGGCGCACGGGUGAGUAACGCGUGGAUAAUCUGCCUUAGAGUGGGGGAUAACUAGUCAAAAGAUUAGCUAAUACCGCAUAAGACCACAAGAACUGCGGUUCAAGGGGUCAAAGGUUUUUCGCUCUAAGAUGAGUCCGCGUAAGAUUAGCUAGUUGGUAGGGUAACGGCCUACCAAGGCGACGAUCUUUAACUGGUCUGAGAGGAUGAUCAGUCACACUGGAACUGAGACACGGUCCAGACUCCUACGGGAGGCAGCAGUAGGGAAUAUUGCACAAUGGAGGAAACUCUGAUGCAGCGACGCCGCGUGAGUGAUGAAGGCCUUCGGGUCGUAAAGCUCUGUCGCAGGGGAAUAACACAAUGAAGGUACCCUGUAAGAAAGGAUCGGCUAACUUCGUGCCAGCAGCCGCAGUAAGAC